CUCUCUUUCUAUCUAUCCCUCCUUCUCUCUAUCUCUCUCCUCCGUAGAAACUUGAAAAUCUGAAGUUUCAUGAAAAAAACCAUGGAUUUCUACUAAAUCAACAAGCAAAUUUCGUUUUUGGUGAAGAUCAAGUUGCUCCUGUUGGUAAGUUUCUAAACUCGUUUUUAUACUAGAUACCUACUAGAAUUUUCUACAUAUCUUUUUAUACAGAGCUCUAAUUUAAGUGAUACAUGACUUUCUGGAAAGGUAUUUCAUAAAUCUAUAACUUUUAUGAAGGAAACAAAAUCUAUUUUUGUUGGUAUUUACCUGAAAAAGGAUCAGAACGUACAGGGCAGGUGCUGUCCAGAUUUCCAGUUUUAGAAAUACUCCAUGUACUACUGUUAGUAAUUUUAGCAUAACUUUUUGUUCAAAAUUGAUAUGGAGGUUAUUCAAGAUGUUCUGAAAUGGUAAGACAUAGAUCUACAACUUUUGUGAAGACCAGAAAGUCUAGUUUGUCCGUGUAGAUCUUCAAAAGCUGAGUCACAUUCGGAACAGUGAUACUGUCCAGAAUUUCUGUUUCAAACGUUUUUGGGUAAUUUUCACCAAUAUCAUAUUUAGUUUGACUUGCUAAAUCACUGAACUUAUUUAGAUACUUGAUUAUGUAUUUAAGGUAUAUAAACCCUUGAAAAAAAAUCAAAGGGGAAGUGUUUGAGGAAGUGGACAGAUUUGGUUUGUUUACAGCGUAGACGAUUUGAACGUCCCCAAGUUGUGAUUGAACUGUUUCGUGGUAAAACACCAAGGAAAUGUUUGGGAUGAAAUCUGAAGAUGGCCAGGGUGAAGUAGUCUUUUUGGGAGAAUUUAUGGAGAUCACAUUUGCAUAUGCACCUUGGUUUGCAUAGUUUUGGGACAUGUACAUGAUAUACAGGAUAUACAUGAUAUAUACAUACACAUAUAUAUAUAUAUGUCACACUUAUGUUAUUUGGAGGCUUGUUGGAUUUUAAAGACCAAAAUCUUGUAACUUGAAUUUGUAACCUAGGUUAUUGUAUUAGGGUGUUUUAAUAACUCAAAUCUUGUAAUAUGCUGAAUUUACACUUUGUCUUGUAAAUAUGUAGAAAAGGAGAAAACUAGUUUCUUUUUUU